AAAAGAGUAAUGAGACUUAUCUCCAUAUCCUCCCAUCGGUUUCUCAACUAGAUCUGAAAAAUGCUACAGGCAGCCAUACGAAGAGCACCGGAAUGCAAAGGCCCACACCUAACCCAUCAGCAAAUCCUGGUGACUCUCUCCUUAAUAUAACUCCUAUCUCCACUGCCACCCUGCACUUGGACGGCUAUGACACCUUUCUCACUGGUCUUGCUACGUUCAACUUGUCUUCUGAAGUCUAUUCUUGAUACAGCAGCCCAAGUGAUACCUUCAAACUGCCAGUCAGAUGGUGGUACUCCUCAGAAUGCUGAGAAGUUUCCACCUAGUCUAAGCAGAAGUCCUUCUGACCUGGCCCACCACAGGGCUGGUCUCACGUGUAUCUCCUGGAGGCCACCCACUCAUGGUGUGUCUGCAAUUCCCGCCUUCCUUCUACUCCUUUCAGUUAGUGAUAUUUGUGACUCUGCAAUCGUAUCACUGGUGGGACCUCAUUAACUCAUGAAUUGGGUGACUUUGCAAGAAAAAGAAACUUUUCAAGAGAUAUAUUACCAUUUCUCAAAGAACAGGCUACAAGAAGACUUUGAGAUGAGCUGAAGCAACCUAUAUCUGGAAAUGAAUCACUGCAGCCAGAAGAGGUCAAAAAUGACAAAACAGAAGCCUGGGAGCUGCCUGCCUGG
rnacentral:lncRNA from 1 species